rnacentral:sRNA from 1 species
UGUUUUUCUGAAGACAGCAGGUGCUAUUGCAUAAUGGGGAGAAUCCCUGCCUGCCGAGGAAGGAACUUUUAUAUACAGAUAUUUGUGUGUUCUUGUCCUUUCUACCGCGCAGUAGAGAGGACUUUUUAUUUUAU